ACAACAGAAGACACAGAAAUCCUCCUCCUCCUCCUCCUGAUCGGAAACAUGACUGUGAUCUGCGUCCUCAUCUGGACUCUCCUCUGCUGCUGCUUCACAGGUAAAGUCCAGAGAAUCCAACUCCUCUCCUCUGUGAACAUCUGUCCCUCUGAAAUGAAGCCCACAAAACCAUGACGCUGCUUUCUGUGUUUGUCUCUGUAUCCUCAGAGUCCAGAGGACAGUACACACUGACUCAGCCUGCAGCAGUGACCUCUGCUCCAGGAGAAGACGCAAGAAUCAGCUGUGGUGUCAGUCAGAAUGUGAAUGGCAAUAACUAUCUGCACUGGUACCAACAGAAGGACGGAGAAACUCAUAAACUGCUCAUUUAUCUUGCUAGCACUCGACAAUAAGGGAUAUCAAGUCGUUUUUCAGGCAGUGGAUCUGGAUCUAGUUUCACUCUGACCAUCAGUGGAGUCCAGACUGAAGAUGCAGCAGUUUACUACUGUCAGAGUGAACACUGGAUUAACAGUCA
rnacentral:lncRNA from 1 species